ensembl:lncRNA
GAAACCUCCAGAGGGCAUUUCCAGCAUCCCACUCAAAGCAGCCCCAUCACCAGCGCUGCAGCAGCACAGCAGCAGUUUCCUUUAGCCAAAUCCCGAAAGCCUCUAAGGGUAAGAAUACAAUGACCUUCCUGGGCAGUACCAUGCUGUAGUACCCACCCAAGAACAUAGCUACCACAGCCCCCAGAGCGUUCCCAGCACCCAUCCUGAGCCUCCCGAGCUGCAGCCUGUGGCCUUGUUGUGGCACUUCAUCUGGAUAGGUACUGUAACCUCUUUUACUGCAGAUGUAUUUUUAUAUACAAUUUAUAUUCUUAAAUGCAGUGUUACUUGUAUUAGUUUUCUGCUUUUGAAAUCACUUUUGGAAAUAUUAACAGUAUAGGUAGUAAGGGAUAAAUUACAUCGUGGUAGGAAACUUUUCUCCUUAUAUCCUGAAAGGAAUUAGGCUUGUUAUGAUGAAAACUACCUUUCAGUGGUAUAUCUUGGUACAUCUCCUCCUGUUAGUGAAGGUAAGCAGCAGGACAGUCACAGCAGAGCCUGUUGCUGUGAGAUAAAGGGUUCAGGGAUAGCUACUCUUCACCACCACGGGGUGUCACCGUAGAUAGCACAAUAAUCUCCCAAACUCCCACUGACAAACAACUCAAAAACAAAACCGAAACAGCCCUGAAUGAAGCGGCUCUUUCACAGCUCUUAGUGGCUUUUUAAACACAAGUCUUAAAAAUCUAAUUCUGUAGCGAGGCCUAACGUUUCCAAUCACGUCAUGUUUGCCUUUUUGCUAGAGACCACUGUGUUCUGUCAUGAAGUUGGUCGUGUAAUUAAGAUGCCUCAAAAGAAAGAUGCACAGUAUUCAUUUUCCAAAGUGUUUUGUUCAAGGUUUGCACACAAGGCUUGGAACUGAGCUCAGUAGGUCACCACUGCUGCACCAAAGCUGGGAGGGCUCGCCGGGACCGGUGACAGUGCUCUGUCUGCUGCGAGGCCAAGAUGUUGCUGUCUGCUGAACAUGAUACACAGCAACCCUGCUGGGGGCUGACACACCAGGGCUCAGCACUUCCAGCUGCUUUGCUGCAAUGCCUCCCCACGAGCCCACCCCGGCGGGUCCCCAGCAGGAGGCCAAUCCUGGGAACAGAGGACUGCAAGUCGGUGCCGCCGCUGCCGGUUAUCUGCCCAGCCCUGGCAUCCCGCCUCGAGAGCCCCUCCUGGGCUGCGUUGGCUGAGCAAACCCGAGAGCGGGGCAACGGUCAGAGCGACAGAAAUGACUCGCUGGGGGAGAAGUGCAGCGAGAUGGGCUCCAGGAGAGAUGAGUCACUGCCGAGCUGCACUCCAGAAACAGCUCACAGAGCCAGCUGCUGCUGUUCGGAAGAUGAACUUACUGGGCUCUGCAGGCUGGCAACAGGGGCGCGGUAGAUGAGCUUGGCUUCAGCUAUUUCAGCGCACGCAGAAGGUGGAUCCAUUUGUGCCUGGGAAGAACGGGAAGCCGGGCGUGCAGAAGCUGUCCUGAAGCUCUGGUGGUCAGCCCGGGCAGCUCCAACACAGGCAGCGCUCCUUAUACCGCACUUACUCGUCUGUUAAUCAUUAAACACUGAUUAGAAAAGGCAAAACAGACAAUGCCUCGAAGGUGGUUCUGACUUUGCGGCCUUCCAGUACUUGAAGGGAGCUUACAGGCAGGAGAGGGAGUGACUUUGUACAUGGUCUGCUAGUGAUAGGGCAAGGGAGAAUGGCAUUUAACUACCAGAGGGAAGAUUUAGGUUAGAUGUGAGGAGGAAAUUCUUUACUCAGAGGGCAAUGAGGCACUGACAGUGCUGCCCAGAGCUGUGGGUGUCACAACCCUGGAGGUGCCCAAGGCCAGGUUGGAUGGGCCCUGGGCAGCCUGAGCUGGUGGGGGACACCCAGCCCACAGCAGGAGCUGGGGCAGGGGUGGCUUUGGGUCCCUUCCAGCCCAAGCCAUUCUGUGAUUCUAUGAUUCUAUGUCUUUGAAAUGGCUCUGUAUCUUGCAGUGGCCACUAUUACUUAAGGUAGAAG